rnacentral:rRNA from 1 species
CGAUGUCGGCUUUUCCUAUCCUGGUCCUGCAGCAGGGGCCAAGGGUGAGGCUGCUCGCCUAUUAAAAGGGAACAUGAGCUGGGUUUAGACCGUCGUGAGACAGGUCGGUCUCUGCCUGAUGGAAGCGCGGCUGUCUGAGGGGAAGUUGCUCUCAGUACGAGAGGAACAGAGCAACGUGGCCACUGGUCUACCGGUUGUCUGAUAAGGCAGGCCGGGCAGCUAAGCCGUUUGGAUUAAGUGCUGAAAGCAUCUAAGCACGAAACCCAUCCCGAGACAAGACAGCCUUUCGUAAGAUGAAGGUUCGCAGAAGAAGACUGCGUUGAUAGGAUGGAUGUGUAGAUCAC